rnacentral:rRNA from 1 species
UAAGGAAUAUUGCUCAAUGGGAGAAAUCCUGAAGCAGCAACGCCGCGUGGAGGAUGAAGGGUCUAUGACUUGUAAACUCCUGUAAAGAAGGAAAAAAUUCCCAUUAGAUGGGAGAUGAUGGUACUUCUGGAGUAAGCCCCGGCUAACUACGUGCCAGCAGCCGCGGUAAUACGUAGGGGGCAAGCGUUGUCCGGAUUUACUGGGUGUAAAGGGUGCUCAGGCGGAUUUGUAAGUCAGAGGUGAAAUCUUACAGCUUAACUGUGAAACUGCCUUUGAUACUGCAAGCCUAGAGUAUGGAAGAGAGUGAUGGAAUAUCUGGUGUAGCAGUGAGAUGCGUAGAUAUCAGAUAGAACACCAAUAACGAAGGCAGUCACUUGGUCCAUUACUGACGCUAAAGCACGAAAGCGUGGGUAGCAAACA